rnacentral:rRNA from 1 species
AUUGAACGCUGGCGGCAGGCCUAACACAUGCAAGUCGAGCGAGCGGCGGACGGGUGAGUUAGGUAUCGGGAUCUGCCCGAGAGAGGGGGAUCACUACUGGAAACUGUGGCUAAUACCGCACACUCGCGGACGAACCCAUAUUGGAUUAGCGAGUAGGUGGGGUUAAGGCCUACCAAGGCGAUGAUCUCUAGCUGGUCGGAGAGGAUGAUCAGCAACACUGUGACUGAGAGACGGACCAGACUCCUACGGUAGGCAGAAGAGGAGAAAAGUGAACAAUGGGGGCAAGCCUGAUGCAGCCAUGCCGCGUGUAUGAAGAAGGCCUUAGGGUUGUAAAGUACUUUCAGCUGGGAGGCGUUACCAGUAGAAGAAGCACCGGCUAACUCCGUGCCAGCAGCCGCGGUAAUAC